UUAAUUGAAGCCAAACAGAGGCGUGUCAUUGUUAAUGACACCAUUGAGUUAAACCUCCAAUUAAG
rnacentral:tRNA from 1 species